AUACGGAGGAUCCGAGCGUUAUCCGGAUUUAUUGGGUUUAAAGGGUGCGCAGGCGGGAGAUUAAGUCGGCGGUGAAAUUUUGCAGCUCAAAUGUAAAAGGGCCUUCGAAACUGGUUUCCUUGAGUGUAGAUGAAGUAGGCGGAAUUUGUGGUGUAGCGGUGAAAUGCAUAGAUAUCACGAGGAACUCCGAUUGCGCAGGCAGCUUACUAAACUACUACUGACGCUCAGGCACGAAGGCGUGGGGAUCAAACAGGAUUAGAUACCCUGGUAGUCCACGCAGUAAACGAUGAUUACUAGCUGUUUGCGAUACAAUGUAAGCGGCUGAGCGAAAGCGUUAAGUAAUCCACCUGGGGAGUACGUUCGCAAGAAUGAAACUCAAAUGAAUUGACGGGG
rnacentral:rRNA from 1 species